rnacentral:rRNA from 1 species
AUUGAACGCUGGCGGCAUGCCUUACACAUGCAAGUCGAACGGCAGCAUGAUCUAGCUUGCUAGAUUGAUGGCGAGUGGCGAACGGGUGUGUAAUACAUCGGAACGUGCCCUGUAGUGGGGGAUAACUAGUCGAAAGAUUAGCUAAUACCGCAUACGACCUGAGGGUGAAAGUGGGGGACCGCAAGGCCUCAUGCUAUAGGAGCGGCCGAUGUCUGAUUAGCUAGUUGGUGAGGUAAAGGCUCACCAAGGCGACGAUCAGUAGCUGGUCUGAGAGGACGAUCAGCCACACUGGGACUGAGACACGGCCCAGACUCCUACGGGAGGCAGCAGUGGGGAAUUUUGGACAAUGGGCGAAAGCCUGAUCCAGCAAUGCCGCGUGUGUGAAGAAGGCCUUCGGGUUGUAAAGCACUUUUGUCCGGAAAGAAAUGGCUCUGGUUAAUACCUGGGGUCGAUGACGGUACCGGAAGAAUAAGGACCGGCUAACUACGUG